rnacentral:rRNA from 1 species
AUUGAACGCUGGCGGCAUGCCUUACACAUGCAAGUCGAACGGCAGCACGGGUGCUUGCACCUGGUGGCGAGUGGCGAACGGGUGAGUAAUACAUCGGAACAUGUCCUGUAGUGGGGGAUAGCCCGGCGAAAGCCGGAUUAAUACCGCAUACGAUCCACGGAUGAAAGCGGGGGACCUUCGGGCCUCGCGCUAUAGGGUUGGCCGAUGGCUGAUUAGCUAGUUGGUGGGGUAAAGGCCUACCAAGGCGACGAUCAGUAGCUGGUCUGAGAGGACGACCAGCCACACUGGGACUGAGACACGGCCCAGACUCCUACGGGAGGCAGCAGUGGGGAAUUUUGGACAAUGGGCGAAAGCCUGAUCCAGCAAUGCCGCGUGUGUGAAGAAGGACUUCGGGUUGUAAAGCACUUUUGUCCGGAAAGAAAUCUUUGACUCUAAUACAGUCGGGGGAUGACGGUACCGGAAGAAUAAGCACCGGCUAACUACGUG